AACCAGUUGCAGAGAGAGAUAGAUACCUUUCAGAGGGUAGGAUCCAAAGGCUCUCAAAAUGAGGAAGCCAGAUGCCUGUGGGAACUACAACAACAAUAAUAACAAGCUUAGAAAGGGAUUAUGGUCACCAGAGGAAGAUGACAAGCUUAUGAACUACAUGCUAAACAAUGGACAGGGUUGUUGGAGUGAUGUGGCAAGAAAUGCUGGCUUGCAGAGGUGUGGCAAGAGUUGUCGUCUUCGCUGGAUCAAUUACUUAAGGCCUGACCUCAAGAGAGGUGCAUUUUCACCCCAGGAAGAAGAGCUCAUCAUUUAUUUGCAUUCCAUUCUUGGCAACAGGUACCUUCCAUGCCUUGCCUAAUUUAAUUGCCUUUUUUUUUAGUAAAUUUCUGAGCAUUAAUUACUUUGGCCCGUAGACUUUCUCCGUUCAUGUAUAUCUGAAUUUUUAUUUUUAUGAAAAUAAUGUACAUGCAAUGAUUUCAUUAAAAUUAAUUAAUUUUCUUGCGUUUGUAUAUCAAAGAUGGUCACAAAUAGCGGCUCGCUUGCCUGGACGCACAGACAAUGAAAUCAAGAAUUUUUGGAAUUCAACGAUAAAGAAAAGACUGAAGAAUAUGUCCUCCAUAGCCUCACCAAACACUAGUGAUUCUUCCUCAGAGCCAAGCAAAGAAGUAGCAGCAGCAGCAGCAAUAGGAGGAGGGUUCAUCUCCAUGCAAGAACAAGGCAUGGGGUACAUAGACCCGUCAUUAUCAUCUUCAUCAUCAUCAAACACAUCCAUGCAAGCUAUGUUUCUGAAUCGAAUGAUGGACUCGUUACCUACCUUCGAUCAUGGCCUAAGUAUGUACGGUGCAAGUGUAUACUUCAAUAAUGAUGCAUCCCCAUGCAUGACUCAGAUAGUAAAUACUAGUGAUGAUGAUUUAUAUGGGAAUCGAGGAAGCACUAAGGAAAAUGCUAAAACUGAAGAUAAAGCAAUAUAUGGUAACAACACCAAUAAGUACAUGUAUAGCAAUGUGAAUAGAAUUAACAGCAGCUGCAAUAACAAUAAUCAGGAAGCGAAUAUGGCUGCUGGGAUUGGGAACUUAUGGCAAGGAGAAGAUCUAAAAGUGGGGGAGUGGGACUUGGAAGAGUUGAUGAAAGAAGUUUCCUCCUUUCCUUUUCUUGAUUUUUCGAGUUGAAUAAAUUGGGUUUUCCUCAUAAAUUUUCUUCCUUCAAUUUUCCAAUUCAUUCCCUUCUUUUCCUACUAUACAUAAACGACCUUGUGUAGCCUUUCUGAAAAACUAUACUAAAAAUAUCCUAGUUACGUUGGUCCCUCAAACCCUCACAUAUCAUGUUUUGUGUAUAAUUUAGGUGCGGUAUAUACAUAUGUAGAAGAAGAAACUGGGCCCUGGAAUGUUCAAAGAAUAAAAGGUCACUAUAUUGAUGGCCUAAGAAACUAUUGUAUGAAUGUAACUUGUCCUUGCUAUAUGUCAAUUUUCAAGCAUUCAAAUAGCCCAAUAUGGUGGAAUAUCUAUAUGUAUGAAUUGAUGUAUGCAUUCAAAAAUUAAGUAGAUGGAAAGGGACUGGCCUCAAGAGAUUGAUUAAUUAGUUGGUGCAUGUUUAGCUUUAGUUAGCAUUAGAUGUACAAAACACAAAUGGGUGGAAAAGUUGUUGUUAGUGGGGAGAUAAGAUAAGAAGAUCUUGUACUAAACAUUGACAACGUAUUGAAAUUCUGUGUCUCUAUGAUCUCAACCUUCUCCAAAAGGAAAAUUUUUUUGUUUUUGGGAAUAAAUCAUUAUUGUUACUUGUAAAGAGGUUCAAUUGUUUAGCUGAGAUGUCCACUUGGAUCAGCAAUUAUUGUUUACAUA
rnacentral:misc_RNA from 1 species